GGAUGUGGCUCAGUGGUAGAGCACUCACCUAGCAUGUGCAAGGCUCUGAGUUCAAUCCUCAGCACCA
rnacentral:tRNA from 1 species